ACAGUUAAGAGCAAACAUUAAACAUCAUGACUGUGUGGAUUCUGUUGCUGCUCUUUUCUGCAACACCAAGUGUCUACAGUAUUGAACUCAUUCAGCCAGACUCUAAAGAACUAAAGCCUGGCCAACCUUUGAGUCUCUCCUGUAAAGUCUCAGGCUAUUCACUGUCUAGCUGUAGCUACUGCACAAACUGGAUACGACAAGCUUCUGGAGGACUGGAGUGGAUUAGAAGAGUUUGCUGCAAUGGAGACACAUACAAUAGUGAAAAACUAAAGAACAAGUUCAGUAUCUCCAGAGACACGUCCAGCAGCACUGUGACAAUAACAGGCCAAAACAUGCAGACUGAAGACACAGCCAUGUAUUACUGCGCACGAGAGUCACAGUGA